rnacentral:lncRNA from 1 species
GCACAUGUAUUAAUACAUUUGUAAUUAUAAAAAUUAAUUUCUACGGUAGCGAUAAAUACACAAAAUUUAAGCAUAAUUAAUACAUCAUUUUUAAUAAUGUUAUGCUAAUUUUGACGUUUAUUUUAGGACAAAAAACACUGAAUACUUUUUUGAACGAAAAACAAAUGAAAACAGUGUUAUUUUGAAAAUAUAUACACGAACAUGUAUACAUUAUUGAAAUUAAAACUUAUAUGCAAAUACAUCUACAUAAGCAAGUGUUUAUAUAUUUAUAAAUUUUAAAUUCAACUAAAUAAUCAAGUAUUCGACUAUUGUUUGGUAUUUUUAUUUUUUAUUUUUUAAGUCUCUUAGAAGUUAUAAGAAAAAGAAGAUUCUAAAAUGCAAAACCCUAUUUUUAAUAUUUUUUCUGAACAGUUUUACAACAAACAAAAUAUAGUAUUUGUUAAUAACGAAAAAAUGCGAAAAUGAAAGAAUGCAUACGCUAAGAAUAUAUAUACAUACACACAUUUAUAUGUAUGUGUUGAAUUUGUGUUUACAAGUAUACGUUUUUAUGUUCAUACGCUUACGCAUAUGUAUGCCCACAAUAAUGUGAUAAUAUGUUUUCGUAUAUAAACACUCCUAUAGACAUACAUACAUACAUACAUACAUACAUAUAUCUAUAAACCUUUUUAUUUUUAUACAGGCACUAAACUAUGUAUUUAUAUAUUCAAUUAUCAUUGGGUCUUGUGUUAUCAAAAUUCCGCACAUAAUAAAAAUAAUUUCACACAAAAGCGUGGCUGGUCUGUCAUUUACUUCGGUAUACUUGGAGAUUUUUGUAGCCACUUCUUUGAUAGUUUAUUCAACAAAAGAAAAAGUAGACCUUAAAAUAUAUCUUGAUGUCAUUUUAAUAAACUUACAGAACAUUGUAAUAGUUUUUUUUAUGUGGAAAUAUAGCCAUAAAUAUUCAACAUAUGUGAAGUUUUUAAAAAUAUUUUUAUAUUUAUUUUUUCUUUGUUUUUUUAUGUUUAUUUUGCCUGUCGUAAUGGUUCCGUUACUUGGCAUAAUAUCUGCUCCAAUAAGUUAUAAAUGAAAGAAGAAAAAAAAAAAAAAAAAAUGAUAGCAAAUUUGAACAUGCGCGCUAAACCGUUAAUUUAUGUUCUCCCAUUCAUUCUGUGCAUAAACAUAUAUAUAUGUAUACAUUGUCAUCGUUUUGAAUAAUUAUAAAUGAACUUAUGAUUCGUUCGAUCACUCGUUCUUUCACCCAUUCUCUCAUUCUCCCAUUCGCCCAUUUGUUUAUUUAUAUAUUUAGGUUGCUUUGCAAAAAUGCAGCAAAUUCAUUUAAAUUAUAAAAAUAAAAAUACGGGCACGCUAUCA